rnacentral:rRNA from 1 species
CACCAGGUCAGGACACGGUAAGGAUUGACGGACUGAAGGCUCUUUCUCGAUUCCGUGGAAAGUGGUGCAUGGCCGUUUUUGGUUGGUGGAUCGAUCCGUCUGGUUAAUUCCGUUAACGAACGAGACCUCGGCACUCCGAAUAGCGCGGCGGACGUCGCGGCCUCCGGGCCGUCUUCCGCACGAGCUUCUUAGAGGGACCGUCCCCCGCCGGGGAAGGAGGUGCGAGGCAACGACAGGUCUGUGAUGCCCUUAGAUGUUCUGGGCCGCACGCGCAUUACACUGACGCGUCCAACGGGUGACUCCCGACCCGAAGGGGCCGGGGAAUCCGCAAGGCGCGUCGUGAUGGGGAUUGAACGUUGCAAUUGUUGUUCACGAACGAGGAAUUCCUAGUAGGCGCGGGUCAUCAACCCGCGCCGAUUACGUCCCUGC